UACGUAGGGUGCAAGCGUUAAUCGGAAUUACUGGGCGUAAAGCGUGCGCAGGCGGUUUUGUAAGACUGUCGUGAAAUCCCCGGGCUUAACCUGGGAAUGGCGAUGGUGACUGCAAGGCUAGAGUUUGGCAGAGGGGGGUAGAAUUCCACGUGUAGCAGUGCAAUGCGUAGAGAUGUGGAGGAACACCGAUGGCGAAGGCAGCCCCCUGGGUCAAAACUGACGCUCAUGCACGAAAGCGUGGGGAGCAAACAGG
rnacentral:rRNA from 1 species